rnacentral:rRNA from 1 species
GAUUGAACGCUGGCGGCAUGCCUUACACAUGCAAGUCGAACGGCAGCACGGGUGCUUGCACCUGGUGGCGAGUGGCGAACGGGUGAGUAAUACAUCGGAACAUGUCCUGUAGUGGGGGAUAGCCCGGCGAAAGCCGGAUUAAUACCGCAUACGAUCCACGGAUGAAAGCGGGGGACCUUCGGGCCUCGCGCUAUAGGGUUGGCCGAUGGCUGAUUAGCUAGUUGGUGGGGUAAAGGCCUACCAAGGCGACGAUCAGUAGCUGGUCUGAGAGGACGACCAGCCACACUGGGACUGAGACACGGCCCAGACUCCUACGGGAGGCAGCAGUGGGGAAUUUUGGACAAUGGGCGAAAGCCUGAUCCAGCAAUGCCGCGUGUGUGAAGAAGGCCUUCGGGUUGUAAAGCACUUUUGUCCGGAAAGAAAUCCUUGACUCUAAUACAGUCGGGGGAUGACGGUACCGGAAGAAUAAGCACCGGCUAACUACGUG